CGAAUCCUUUAUUACAGAGGAGAGCUCGAUCAACAUCGACAUCGUCUGCAAUGGCGGAUUGUUUAUUUGCAAUUUGCAGCGUUUGCGCGAUGUAAAUUGUUCUUUCGCUAGUUUCUUGUACGUGGUAAUGUUAACAUUAACGCUCGCUAUCGAGUUUAGGGUAUGUUUUCUCACACGUGAAGGUGUGGUGCCUUUUUCACCCGUGGAUAUUCGUACUCGACUCCGCUCGCCCACCACAGCAGGUGAGGUCAUUGUUCAUCCGCCUUGGUGCAGUUGGCCUGCCUUGCAAACUCAUAAACGGCAUUGUGUGUUGCUGCCAUGUCUUCCGUUACUUUCUCUCAGUAGCAUGAACGAACUAUCCGCACCCGUUUUGUCUGCACUACAACGGAGAUGCCUCAACUUCAGCCUAUGUUAACCCCCACUGCCUUUCAAGGAACUAUGUCAACAAUGCCAGCACUAUGUGCUGCUGGGCCUCAUAACAUAAGCUUGCUCAGUGGCACAAACUGUCCAUAUACUUUUGCCCCACAAUGCAACUGUGCCAUUCUCAGUGGUCCGUAUUGGGAAGCACUCCAGAUCUACAAACACUAUGAUGUGCUGUUGGCUGCUAGAAAAUGACUCGUUUAUAACAGCGGAGUUUUGCACAACAUAGAAAGGGUUAUGAAUGUAAAAAUGGCCAUCCACUCCCAUUUGUUGCACAAAGCUACGAGAAAAUUCAUAUGGAUUUCUCAUAAAGAACAGCAUUUUAGUUGGCGAAAAAUUUGACAUGGUCCACAGUUUGAACUCGAGAACGACUUUUUUUCGGGGUGGUCGCUCUACCAUUUAAGCUAACCAGUAUGCUAGUAAUCAAAGUGCGAGGGCAAAUUCAGUUUGAAGCGCAUGGACACUGAAUAUGACAAAUGAGUUCUGUGGAAAGCACAGUAGGUAUAAGUAGCUUAUAACCAGCUGCAAGUAAUGUUUUUUUCUUUCAAGUUUGAUUUUCAUAAAUAGAUAUUAACGCAGAAUCUUCUGCUAAAAGCUGCUGCACGUUUCCACAGGACCCAUUUGCCACAUUCUGUGUGCUUUGACUUUUCAACUAAUUGGCCCUUACACUGCCCAUUGCUAGCCUACUGGCUAUCUCAGUUGUAGAGAAACAGCCCUGGAAAGGUGUUGGUUCCAGGCUUGAGCCCAGGAACAGUACGAAUUUUUUGUCUUCCUUUCUGAGAAAUCAGUAUGGAUUUCCUGGUAGCCUUGUACAAAACAGGUGGAUGGCCAUUUUUCAAUUCAAAAUAACUUGUUCUCUACACAGAUGAUGUAUGCGAACACAACUGUGAUGCCUUGAAUCAUGUCUGGACGAGCUGGGCUUGGAGCAUGUAGCCAAAUGUGAUGGUAGGAGCUCCAAGUGAAUGUUCUCAAAUGUUCAUUGUUCCAGUGCUCCCAGAACGAGGAAAAAGCUGGGACACAGCACUGUGUGCCUUGGCUUCUUUCCUCGCACUGUGACAUAAUGAAGUAGUACCAACUAGCCCAGUUCAUUGCGCUCUAAAAUGUGUUUAGCUACUUGUGAUGCCGUUCAGACCAAUCUGCUUGGCACAUUCACAGGUAGCAAUAGAACAGAGGGCUGCCGAGAUAGCAAAGCCAUAAAUGCAAGGCCUGCGCGUGCACAUCUGAGCUUGCAGAGAUAGUGUCCUGCAUAGGUCACUUGCUUGAUGAAUGUGCAAUAAAUGCAAUUUUUUGGGCAAUAAAGGUGUGAUGACAUAUGCAA